UACGGGGGGGGCAAGCGUUGUUCGGAAUUACUGGGCGUAAAGGGCUCGUAGGCGGCCAACUAAGUCGGAUGUGAAAUCCCCGGGCUCAACCCGGGAACUGCGUCCGAUACUGGGGGGCUUGAAUCCGGGAGAGGGAUGUGGAAUUCCAGGUGUAGCGGUGAAAUGCGUAGAUAUCUGGAGGAACACCGGUGGCGAAGGCGGCAUCCUGGACCGGUAUUGACGCUGAGGCGCGAAAGCUAGGGGAGCAAACGGG
rnacentral:rRNA from 1 species